CUCAACAAGUAGAGUUAUAUGAACGUUUCGAGAAACGCUCCAUGAGUGCAUUCCACAGUACUUUGUGGUCAUUACUUUUUGCACAGAUUGCCAUUGAAGGCUUUUGUCGAUGUGGCGCGUCAAAGACUUUGAGCGCAUGAGAUGUGAAAUCUCGGCAUCUAGGCUUGUUAGCCUGGGGGUCAAAACAUGUGGUUUAAUCCUUUCCAAUGAAAGGUUCCACAAAUACCAAGCGAAGAUUCGCCUUAGGCAUCGAAUACGGUAAAACUCAAAAGAGCAGAAUGUUAUAUUGCUCUUGCAUACAAAACCAAGCUGUUAUGAGACUCGAUAGAGGUCACAAACAAUACUUUUAAUGGUUUGUCUUUUGGAUUGAUCAUACACAAUCCGGAAAAGCCGCAAAUUGAUCAAACACAAUUCGGAAAAGGCCUCGGAUUGAUCAAACACAAUCCGGUGAUAGGUCGGGGUUGAUCAUACACAACCCGGACAUGGAAACAAGAGUGAUCCAACACACUCUUGACCCACGAAUAAAAUUCCGGGAUUUUUGGUACCUGCAAAUACACCGACCCAAGCAUAGAAUGGAGUAGAAGAAGGGGAGAAAGCACUUUAUCUCCCCCGAGGUUAUUGAACUUGGAAGAGUUUUAGGGUUGUUAAAUAAACAUACCGUAAACACUUAGAUGCUUGAUCGGAUGAAAAGAAAGCAGUGGAGUGGACGGCCGGGAAGCGACUGCGGCGGCGGCGGCGGCGGCCAAGGCAUGAUAACGUGAUGAAUGAUAAAGUGUAGAGACAAAAAGAUAGCAAGAGAAUCAUCAUCUUAUUCAUUGAUAAGAGUCCUUUAUAUAGGGAAUUACACAAUACCAAUAUGGUAAGGAUAUGAAUACAUAGAUCUAGUCUAAUUACAUAUCCUAUUGGCAUAAGGCCAAGGCACACAGUAAAAAAUAUCUAGAAAUAUACAGAAUAUCUUAAAACAAGAACUAGAUUUAGAUUCACAAAGAUAGAAAAGAAAUUUUAAUAAAUUUACGAUAUUAAUAAAUUUAUGGUAUAAAGGCUUCAUUUGGCAUGUUUACUAACUAGAUCAUUAUUAAAAAAAAUA
rnacentral:lncRNA from 1 species